rnacentral:lncRNA from 1 species
ACACUCAGGGAGUACACCAUGUGAAGACUGGACUUAAACAGCUACACCACCAGAAGCCGAGAGAGAGGCUGGAACAUAGCCUUCCCUUUGGAGCCCUAGCAGAUGCUAAUCCAGCGUGCGUCCUGACAGAGGUUGAAGGGGGCUCCUCAAGUCCCAGGUCCAGCUUGGUGUGGUUCAGCUACUCGAGAGACAUCUGCUGCUAAUGGAUGAGCAGUCAACCUGGACGCAGGAAAUCAUUUUUUAUUUGGUCCUGGAGGCUGGAAGUGCAAGAGGAAGGUGUCGGCAAGAUCGUUUUUUUCUGAGAGCUCUCUCCUUGGCUUGCAGAUGGCAGCCUUCUCCUGGCACAGUCUUUUCUCUACUCACGCCCAAAGUUACGGAGGACCCAGCAACCGUCUCCUGCAGCCCCUGGAAACCUCUUGACUCUUCUGUGAUGUCCCCAGUGAUCCAGCAGCCCCGGCCUUCUUUUGAUGGCUGGAACAUUUGGUCUUCAUUGAACAGUUUGUAUAUUGGAAACUUGCCAGCCUCCAUCCACGUUCCAACCUCCAUCUGCAUCCCUCGGUACAAAAUGGUUCAAUCUGUCUACCUCCUUUCACAUUCCACCAAGAUAUUCCAAGGCCCAGGGUUCCUUUGACCACCUCACACCUAACAAGUUCCCUCACCGUCUCACUCUCCCCUGAAGAUUCUAAGCUGCCUCUGUCCUGCUAA